GAUGAACGCUGGCGGCGUGCCUAAUACAUGCAAGUCGAGCGAACGGACGAGAAGCUUGCUUCUCUGAUGUUAGCGGCGGACGGGUGAGUAACACGUGGAUAACCUACCUAUAAGACUGGGAUAACUUCGGGAAACCGGAGCUAAUACCGGAUAAUAUUUUGAACCGCAUGGUUCAAAAGUGAAAGACGGUCUUGCUGUCACUUAUAGAUGGAUCCGCGCUGCAUUAGCUAGUUGGUAAGGUAACGGCUUACCAAGGCAACGAUGCAUAGCCGACCUGAGAGGGUGAUCGGCCACACUGGAACUGAGACACGGUCCAGACGCCUACGGGAGGCAGCAGUAGGGAAUCUUCCGCAAUGGGCGAAAGCCUGACGGAGCAACGCCGCGUGAGUGAUGAAGGUCUUCGGAUCGUAAAACUCUGUUAUUAGGGAAGAACAGAUGUGUAAGGAACUGUGCACAUCUUGACGGUACCUAAUCAGAAAGCCACGGCUAACUACGUG
rnacentral:rRNA from 1 species